rnacentral:rRNA from 1 species
UCUGUCCAAGAAACCGAAACGUUGGCCGUAACUAUAACGGUCCUAAGGUAGCAAAUUUCCUUGUCGUCUUAAUAACGACCUGCAUGAAACAUAGAACGAUUUGAUAGCUGUCUUGCACACACAUCAUGGUAAAAUAUUCAUCAGUACAAAUAAUAUGCUGCUGACACUAAAGGACAAAAAGACCCUUUGAAGCUUUAUAGGGAUAAAACUCAGCUUUAAAUCAACAAACAAUGAAAUCCAUCUUGUUGCUUCUCCGCUUUUUAAAUUGCUAAAGCCUUACAAGAUUUACAACAUCAAGACCACUGUUUAAUUGGGGCGAUAACCUUAUCCACAGCCACCUAAGGUGAACAAAGCGAUACAAGGAUCCUAAAUACUAAUUUGACCAACUAAUAAGUGCAAAGAUACAUGUUUUGCUUAAUGGCCCAACAAGUCCUUCCCAGUACUUAAAUGCUAUCUUAAUGAGCUUUAAAUUAAUUUACCAGAGCGAAGCUACUCUACGGAUAACAGGCUUAAUUUCCGCAAUAUCCAAGGUCACAUUAUCAAGAAUAAAGCACCUCGAUGUCGGCUUAUCUCAACCAAGGUAAGUAGCCCAAAUAUUGGUGGGAGUGCUCAUCCCGUAAAAAGGUACGUGAGCUGGGUUCAAAACGAUGUAAAU